CUAUAAAUUAUUAAAAUUAUAAUAUUUUAAAAUUUUGAAAUUAUUUAUAAAUUUUAUUACAUAAAAUAAUUUUCAUUUUUUAGAACUUGUAUGGCUAUUUUUUCAAAUUAAUAUAAUAUAUUGUAUUGAUAAAAUAUUUUAAAUUUAUAAUUUUUAGUUGUUGUUUAGUAUGUAUAAUAAAAUUAUUCAAUAAUUUAAUUAUAGAUAUUAAUAAGUAAUUGGUUACAACUAAUACUAAUAUUAUCUAUAUUUAUUUACAUAUAUGAAACACAUAAAUUAUUUUACAUUAAUGUUAAAUGAUAAAAAAUAUUGUAUGGGAAUUUUAUCUUUAUGAAAACAUUAUUUACUUAAUUAUUAAUUAAUUAAAAUAUAGUAUUUUAUACAAAAUAAACAAAAUUCGUUUUUGUAUUGAAAACCCACAAAAGUUGGUUUUUGGCUUUUCUUCACAAAUUGGUUGAAAUUUUGAAAAACUAGCUUCCCUAAAUGAAAUGGUUUUUACAAAAACAAAAACUAAAAACUAAAAACUUGAUUGGAUAAAAAAUGGUUUUUACAAAAACAAAAACCAAAAACUAAAACAAAAACUACAAACAAUCAACCUCUUAAUCUAAAAAAAUACUUCAUCUUAUAUUUGUGUUUUCUUGCUCAUUAACAUGAUUAACAUUGAAUCUCAUAUGGAUUUAAGGUUUUUCAUGGAAAUUAUUGAGUAGACACUUUGUGAUUUAUAGGCUAGAUAGAUUAUGUGGAUAUUUAUGUUAUUUCUUGCUUGAUUAACAUUGUUCUAUGCUUGAUAAGUGUUCUUACUUGAUCAUUCUCAUCUAAACCUUAAACUAUUUUACGCCCGAAAGGUGUUUGUUUAAAUGUUUGAAUGAACUUAGUAUUGCUUUUUACAUAUUUGGCCAACGACAAUUGAUGCCCGAAAUAUUUAGUGGUUAGUAGACUUGUGUUUCAUGCAUGCUUGAUUGUGUUAGGUUAACGACAAUUGAAGAUUUUAAUUCAUGAUUAGCAUAAAUUUUUUUACCACAACAGUUGAUUAAUUAUAUUGAAUGAGAUCUAGACCUAUAGACUUCUUGAUUGUUUUGUUUGAACAUACUAGAUUAAACCUAGAUCACUUUAUAUCAAUUAUCAUUGCCCAUGGAUCCAUCCUUAGUUGAUUGAAUUCUUGCACUAUUUUCUUGAUUGGAUUUGAGAUCAACUUGUUUAUAUUUUUAGUAUAUUAGCUUGUUACCAAUCAUUCAUCUUCUUAUUUGCUUAGACUAGGAAAAUUUGUAUAUUCCUAGUGUUAUGAUCCUUAGUUCCUUGUGUAUUCGAUCCUAAAAUGCUACAAUAACAUACCAUUCGAUUGUGGUAUUGUUGGCACAUUAGAUUAAUUGGUCUGUGCUUAAACGCAUCCUCUGCGAUUUGCAUAAGAACGAGAUUUUGAUUGCAAACAAGAAAGAUUCAUUUUCUAUUAUCUUCAAACUCUGUAUAUAUCCAUAGAUAAUGAAUGAGGGAGUUUAGAGUAGCAUUUCGUUUCAUAGGUCAAGGGAGCUUAAGAUUACUUCUACAGAUCUGCUAAUAUACUUCUUUUAAAAGGGUCGUACAUUGUAGUUUAGUGCGUUAAACAUAUUUGUUUAUCAGUGAUACAACUCAGUGAUACAACUCAGUGACACAUCUAAAAAGCUUGAGAAGAAAUUUGCUACUGGAGCUUCAGUUGUCAAGGUUUGCAGAAGGAUGGAUUUCAAAUACGAAUAAUAUAGGUUAUUUGCUUACAUAUGUAUAAGUGAUACUGAGUCCUGCUGGUAUUGUGAACAAUGGGGAACAUAUAUGAUCUGAGUUAAGUAGCUUAUGGUUUUGUAGAGUUUGUUAUGCUUUAAGUUUUGGGUCUCUAGUUUCAAAAUUUGAAUUAACAAAACUAUUGACCCUUAAACGCAUUAGAACGUAACCACUCGGUUUAAUAUAAUAAACGAGAUUUCUGAAAUGUUUUGUCCCUAACUAACUCAUUAAGCACUUGAUCGAAUCUCAUUCUCAACAUUCCCUUAACAAAUAUACUUGUUCUCUUGAUCUUCUUUUGAAAUUAUGGUUCUGAUUUGAAAUAUAUUCUUGUAUAUUACUCUAUGUUUUAUUCAAAUACGUCAAUCAUAGUAGCUAUAUAAGCUGGGAAAUGAUUCAGCAACUUUAAAUAAAUAUAGCUAGAUAGGUCAAAAUCCUAAUUCUUUUCCCGCACUGUUUUAUGUAAAAAGAUUUUUAUUCAUGUGACAAUAAAGAUUUCGGGUCUUGUGUAACAUCAUACGAGAUACAUUUAAGCUUAUCAAGUAUAAACACAACUGCAAAUACUGUGUGGCUUGCUAGGCUUGUUAUUUGCGAGACAAAGGUAGGCAUGGGCAAAAUGUCCGAAACCCGAACCCGAACCCGGACCCGGACCGAAGUGGAGAGAUUGGAUCGGUUCUGGAUCCAUUGAAAUACCUGAUCGGGUUUAGCUAAGCGAUACAUUGGGUUUCAGGAUCGGUUCAGUUUAAAUCGAAAACCGAUGAGUAACCCGAAGUAACCCGAACAUAUAUAACAUAUCAAAUAUAUGUAUACAUAACGGAACACGUGUACGGCUUAUACAUUACAGAACACGCGUGAGAGAGUCUUUCCCUUCUCGAGACUUCGUGUUUCGAUAGUUGCUGAGUUUCGAUACUUUGGAGACGAAAAAUCAUCAAGCAAGAGUCGAUUGAUCUUCUUCUACCUUUCGAAAUCCCUAAUCGUAUCUGCUAUUAAACCUAAGGAGCCUCUCAUGUUUCAAACACUCAUUCACUCUCCAUCUUCUUCGUUUUCGCGAAAUCAGUUCAGAUGGAUUCAUCCGCAACUCCAAACCGUGAUGAUCGUGAGAAUGACAAAGACGUUGAAGGUGAUGAAGUACAAGAGUUGAUGACUCCGGAUAACAAAGGCGAGCGUAAAGUAUCAUCUGGAGGCAGUGAAGAAACACACAAAGCGAAGAAAUCUCCUCGGGUUCUUCCUACAAGGUCGGAAAUUUGGAACCAUUUCACAAGAACAAAGGAGAAUCGUGAUAGAUGUAUGUGUCAUUACUGCAAGAAGACAUUUUGCUGCACAACAAGGUCGGAAACCUCAAACUUGUUGAAGCAUAUCAGUAUCUGCAGAAACUUCAGGUCAUUCACAGAGGGCCAAAGUUCGACUCAAACCAAUAUCGAUGAAGAAGGAACACUGAAGUGUGCAAAGGUCAGUGCAACCACUUUCAGAGAAGCUACAAAUGAGAUGAUGGUGAUAGGACAGUUACCGUUGAGUUUCAUAGAAAGUGCUGCUUGGAGACACUUUUGUCAGAUUUCUCUUAUGUUUUAUAACUCAGGCAUUGUUUAAUUCUUUAGUAUAAAUUGGUAUCUGACUUUGUAUGUUAUGUGUGUAGAUGGAUCUGGACAAACCUAAGGAGCCAAUUUAAGGAUAGUAACAUUAUGGAUCCGCCGGAUAAAGAUCCGGAUCCGGAUACCUUAAAAUUGUCCAGAUAUCCGAUCCGUCCCAUGCCUAUACCUUGAUGAAUGAGACUUUUAUUCAAUCAAAUUUUUAUAUUUACUUUUUAAUUAUUAAAAUAAUGGUAAAUAGUCAAACAAGAGUGAUAAUGUUUUAAUCUCAGUCCUCUCUAUUUAAGUAGACAGUUUAAUCAAAGAUACAUGGGAGAUACAUUUGAUUUUUUCCUAUAAUUAGAUAAUGAUUUUUUUCAAAAGUCAAAAGCCUAUUUUCCUGUAGACUAACAAAGGAUAACAUUUGAAAAUCAAACACACUUAGGGGUGGACAAAAUAUCCGAAAAUUUUGAUUCGAUCCGUUAUUCGUUUCGAUUCGAUCCGAAAAAUCCAGAUAUCCGUAGCUUAACGAAUCAAAAGUAAAUACUAAAAUUCAAUAUCCGUCAAAGACGAAGCAAAUCACAAAUACUAAUAUUAAAAAAAAAACAGAUAUAUCUGAUCUGUUAUAUACAUAUAUAUAUAUAUAUAUGUAUAUAUGUUUAUAAAAUUAUAUAAUAUAUAUAAUUUUAUAUCUCUAUAUAAAUUUUAUAAUAUUUUUAUUCACUAAAUUAAUUAUUUAGUUAUUAAAAAUUUUGAAAGUAUGUAAUUUUUUAAAAAUUGUAAUGAAAAAUUGUUAUUUUAUAUCAGAUUUUGUUCUUUUUUCUAUAAUUUUUUAAUUUUUAAAAUUUAAAAUUAUUUUUUUAUGGAUCGAAUCGGAUAUCCAAAAAAUUACAGAUCGAAUCUGAUCGAAAAAUCGAUUAUUCGUGGGAAACAGAGCGGAUCACGGAUAUCCUUAAAAUUCCGGAUAUCCGCUCCGUGUCCACCCCUAAACACACUUAUACUAUAUUACUUAACUGAUUAUUUCCAUAUUCCUAGUUUCUUUUGUAACACCUACAAAAUUUUGACCUCACAUCUAUAUUUAAAUAAACUGGCUAAUUAAGCUGACUAAUUAUUUUAUCUUUUAUUUCGCUAAUGAUUUCUUCAACAGACAAAAGUCUAUUUUUUUAGAAAAAUGAUAGAAUUUAUUAUAUUUUAUUUAUUGUUUUUCUCAUUUAAACGAAAAUUUUUCCCUUAUGUGAUAAAAGUAAACAAAGAAAAAAGAACAUCUUGUACCUCACAACCUGUAUAUAUACAUAUAAUCAUUACAACACAAAAGUCAUUGAAAGGAAAAAUAUCAAACAAAUAAUAUUGAUCAUGGCCUAGUUAUCAUGUUCUUAUUGGAUCAAUUGCUCUAGUGCCAAAAAAAAUUAUUCUCAGAUACUCCUGUCCGAAAAGUGAAUUAAAUAAAACUGUACUUAAUUCUGAGAAAAUAAAAAAAGACCAUGAAACCAAAAGAAACUUGGAUAAUUAUAACCCAACCAGGGAUUUUUCGCGGACCAUCCAGACCUGACUCAUAAAAUCCGGAUCUCCAGUGUUCAUAACUUCAGAAAAAAUACUAAACUUGGUGUAAGUGUAAUCACAAGUUGAACUAAGUCGCACUUUUAGUAACUAUACAACUUAGUAAAAGUUCAACUAAUUUUGAUUGUAUCUUUUACAUUUGCAAUAUGUUCUUUUUUGGAUACAAGGUUGUUAUUGAUGUAUUUAUUGAAGUUAAAAUAAAUAAAAACUAGAGACAUUACAUUAUGUGAAAUUUAUUUUACAUAAACGAUGUAUUUUACAUAAACUUAGCAAAAGUAGAUAAAAUUACAUGUUAUAACUUAUAAACACACCACUAAUCUUCAAAUGGUCAGUCACAAGUGGUCAAAUGAAUUUCAUUGCAAAAGACCUAAGCUGCCCGUAGAGAUGUCAAUUGGGCUGUCCAUGUCCAAUGGAUAUGUCCAAAUGGACAAAGCAGUUUAUUGGACAUUAUUUUUCUUAAGUCCAAAUUGUACCUAGUCCAAACCCAAAAUAGACCAUUCCAAAUAGACCGUCCGCGGGGCCCAAAUAAAAUGUAUGCCUUAAUACUAAAUCUAUAAAAAAACAUAAUUUCAAAUUCAAUUUAUAUAAAAGUACAUAUACAAUGUGAAAAAUGUGAUUUUACGAUUUUAACAAGAAAAUACAAUUUUGCAAAUUUAAUGAAAACAUGAUUUUGCAAUUUUGGCGGAAAAACGCGAUUUUUGUGGUUUUUGUAGGAAAACACGUUGAGGUCUUGGAGGGGGAAACGAGAUUUUGCUGUUUUGGCGGAAAAAAAUGAUUUUAUGGUUUUGGCGAGAAAAUGGGAUUUUGCGGUUUUGGCGAAAAAACAUGAUUUUACAGUUUUGGCGGAAAAACGUGAUUUUAUGGUUUUGGUGGAAGAACAGGAUUUUACGGUUUUGGCGGAAAACACGCAAUUUUGCGGGUUUGACGGAAAACGCGAUUUUGCGGUUUUGGCGGGAAAACAUUAUUCUACAGUUUUGGCGGAAAAACGUGAUUUUACAUUUUUGGCGGGAAAACGUGAUAUUAUGGUUUUGGUGGAAGAACAUGAUUUUGUGGUUUUGGCGGAAAAACACGAUUUUGCGGUUUUGGCGGGAAAACAUGAUUUUGCGGUUUUGGCGGGAAAACAUUAUUUUGCAUUUUUGGUAGAAGAACGUGAUUUUGUGGUUUUGGCGUAAAAACAUGAUAUUAUGGUUUUGGUGGAAGAACAUGAUUUUGCGGUUUUGGCGGAAAAACAAGAUUUUGCGGUUUUGGCGGGAAAAUAUGAUUUUGCGGUUUUGCUGAGAAAACAUUAUUUUGCAGUUUUGGUGGAAGAACGUGAUUUUGUGGUUUUGACGGGAAAAUGAGAGUUUUCAAAUUUAUGGGAAAACAUGAUUUUACGGUUUUGGCGGGAAAACGUCAUUUUAUGGUUUUGGUGGAAAAAUAUAAUUUUGUAAAUUUGGCGGGACAAUAUGUUUUUUACUUUCUGAUUUUUUAAAUUUUUUUUUUCUAUAUUUAUAAAAAAAAUUAUAUAUUUUAAGGUUUAUUGGACGUCCAUGUCCAAAUGGUUUUAGCCCAUCUAAUUUGGACUUAAUAGGUUUGAGUCCAAUUGGACAACUUUAAAUUUUGGGCCUAAUAUGGUCAGAUCAUUUGGGUUUGGUCUUGGUUAACCCAUGGUCAUUAAGCCCAUUUGACAUCCCUGCAAUGCAUAUUGUCAGAAACAACGUUCACAAAUGAACACCGGUUCUAUUAUUUCGGAGCACCAGCAAUGAUAUGAGACGCUGGGAUAUAUCAUUUCUAAUAGAGACAUAAAGAUAUCAAGUUUUUCGUAACCCCAUUGGCCUGAGCAUAUGAUAAACCAUGGAUUUGACCCACAUUUAUCCAUGGGUUUGACCCGCUUCCAUUUCCAUGUAAUAUAGGUUUUAACUACUAAUUAUUAUAUUAUAGAGUCUAUUUAGGAUAUUUAUAGGAUCAUAAAAUUUGAAGGAAAAUGAUGAUUUUGGUUGGAGCAUUUUGGAGAUAUCUGGAGUAAGCACCCGAGAUGACCAUCGAGUUCGACCAUCGGUCGACAUUGAAGAGGAAUAAUCGAUGGAUGUUCACAUCUUGACAUAGAUCAACAGCAAAGCGCGCAGAAAGCCCGUUUGGUCUCAGACAACUUAGAACCCAAGUCUUCACCAAUUUACAAGAUUACCCCUAACGAGUUUUAACCUAAUUAUAUAAGCUUGCCAACAUGUUAGAGGCAAAGUGUGCUUUCUUGUUUUACUGAUUUUACAACAAAGGUUUUCUAAGAUUUUUAGUAGAUUGGAGAGAAGAUCCAAAGAGAUUUGUGAUUGGAACUCUGUUGAUAUCUAUCUAUUUAUCUAUGCAGUUUUUAUACUUUAUUGAUGUUAUGAAUUGCUUGCUAUAUCUCAGUAGUUCUCUGGUUAGAUUUUAGGGUUUAAAAAAUUUAUGAGGGAUUAGCAUCAACUAUAGAUUUCUAAGUUGUGAUAUUCAUUAUUAGAAUUAUCAUUAAUGCAUGUUUUUAUAUUAGCUACCUAAAACUUGCCUUAUGAGUUGUAGACAUAAGCGAUAGCUUGCAUCUCACCCUGAAUCCAUCCUAACUGAGCUAAGACUUGCUAGAAUAAGCGAGAGCUGAUCUAGUAAGCUUAGUGAGCAUAUUCAAUCCGCACAUUAACGUUUGACCAAGAGCAUUGACCGAUAUUCCUAUCGAAUAAUCGGUCGACGUUUCAACAAGUGUAUCGAUCGAUAUUCUAUUGACUAAUCAAUCGACACUGGUCAAUAGACAAACCUAGAAAGCGAAAGCUUAAGGGUUUGUUAUUAAGUGUUGAGUUCUAUAAUAUCAUGCAUACAACUUAUUAGGCAUCUGUAAGAUUAUAAUCUUGAUUACCUGAAUAAAGCCCCUAAGUCUAGCUAUUUCCAUUUAAGUACCAAAACCCCAAUCAAUCAAUCGAGCAAUUAUUUCCUCACAAACUUGCAACUUUACAUUUAAAUCAUUAAACAACCUAGCUUAACAAUUCCGAUUAGAUUUAUUAGGUUCCCUAGCUCCUUGUGGAUUCGAUCCCUAAGUACUACAACUGAACCUCUUAUUUGAGAGAGUAAUUCACUCCUUAGGGUAAUUUGAGUGAUAUCAGCAUACCGAAGUAGCGAUCGUGUGAUCCAUCCGAUCAACACAUUCACAACCAAAACUAGGAUAGUUGCGAACCAAUCCUCUAUCAUCAACACUAAAUACUAAGUAGAAGAAAGACACAUCUACAAUACAAAAAAGAAUUAAAUCAAACCAUUAAGUUAUACAUGGUUAUACAGUUAUAGUAUUUAAGUUAUACUAAGUUAUACAUUCUUACAUAGUUUUUUCAGUAACCAACUUUGUCCAACGUUUCCCAGUUCUAGUUGUUUUCUUCUCUUCAAUUUGUUUCAAUAGUUACCUCGGAGUUAUCAGCAUUCUUUGAUUCCCGAUGUUCUAUCUUUUCUUAUACAGUUGUUGAUUAUCCAAUUCUCUAAUAGACAGACCAUUCACACUUUCCGAUCCUCGAUUAGUCCAGCCCAAUUACAACUAUGAAUCUUGUAAAUCAGAAUCUCUGUAAAUCGAUCGUCUAUGGUGGAUGAAGGAUUCUAAACAUUGGCUUUAAGAUACAUACCCUGUAAAACGGAAUUAAUAGCUCGAUGAUUCAGCAUCCAAGCGAAGAAACCGAGUUAGCUCAAUGCAAUGAUAGCGAGGAAGAAGAUAACGCCCAAAGAAACCCACAUGUGAGAUAAGAGAGAGAAAAUAACAGAUUCGAUUACUCCCGAUUUAGAAAUGGAAUAAUGAUUUUUGAUUGGUCAUCUGACGUCAUUCAGUCUCAAUUCAAUCUGCCUUGGUAGAGAAAUGGCACUUUCGACAUUAACCAUCAAUAUAGAGAGUAUCAGAAUAGAUAAGAGUAUGGCAGAAUAAGUAAGAGUAUGACCAAAUGAAUUUCGCCUCAUUAAGGGCAUCUCAGCGUUUAACCCGUUCUUAUUUUCUUGUACUCAUGAUUGUAUUCUGAGGUAAUUUUAAUUUCUCAUUUCCAAUUAAACAAAAAUACUAUGAUAUCUACGUAAAUUAUUAUUAUACAUAUAUAUAUAUAGUUUAGUUAUAAAAUAUUACAAAGUUUAUGAAUAUAACCCGCUUUCACGAUAAAUGAUAAUUUAUUUAAAUGAAUGCAUUUAAAUAACUGGUUAAUCUAUCAAUUUAAUAUAAUUUUAUCAUAUUCAAUUCAUACAUCACCUUUAUUUUAAUAUAAUAUAGAUUAUAAUGAUAAAAUUUAUAAAAGUAGCAAAUAAUUUUUAUUUUUAUUUUCUUUUGUUUUAUAAUAAAAUAUUAAUCAACAUUAAUUAGAGUAUUAUUAUAUUACUAAUUAUGAAAUUAAUUAAUAUAUUUAAAAAUUUUGGUAGGAUUUUGUUAGAUUUUUCUCAACAUAUUUUGUUAUAACUAAAAAUAAAUUUUAAAUGUAUAGUUAAAAUUGACUUAUUAUUAAUAUUUUAUUGAUUAUUGAGAUUUAAUGUAGAUAAUCAAGUAUAUCACAUUAAGUUAUUAAUUAAAUGGAACUACAGUAGAACCUCAAUAAAUUAAUACUCGAUAAAUUAAUAAUCUCUACAAAAUAAUAAAUUUCGCCGGUCUCAACUUGGACAUGUUCAAAAUUUGACACAAAUCGAUAAAAUAGUAAGAUAAUAAUUUUUAGAACAUUCUAUGCAAAUAUAUUGUCCAAUUAAAACUAUAAAUUAAUAAUUCCUAUGUAUACAUAUUUUAUAUAAGUAAGAACCUAUUAUUAUAUUAUUAUAUUAUUAUUUUUAUAUUCACAAUGAAAUUAUCUUUAUAUUUUCUUAACACUUAAUAUAUCCAAAACUACAUUGAAGUUCUAUGCAAUAUAUAUUAUAUACAUCAAAUAAUAUAAUAAAAUUAAUAUAAAUGUCAAUUUUUUUUAAAAAAUAACAGUUAAUUCCUAUACACUAAAAUUAAUUAUUUUUCAUAUCUUAGAUUAAAUAUAUCUUAAAAUAGGAAAUUUUGGUAAAUUAAUAUCUCUAUAAAUUAAUAAAAUCUCAAUAUUAUUAAUUUAUAGAGGUUCUACUGUAUUAUGACUUGUUAGAAAAAAAAAUUUAAUUAAUAGAUUAGAUAUUCUAUUUAUUGUUUUCUCAUUUAAGCGAACAUUUUUCUUUUAUGUGAUAAAAAUUAAACAAAUAAAAAAGAACAUCAUAUACCUUACAACUAGUAUAUAUAGACUUAUAAUCAUUACUACACCAAAGUCACUGAAAAGAAAAAUAUCAAAC